rnacentral:miRNA from 1 species
ACUGGUUGACCAGUUGACUG